rnacentral:rRNA from 1 species
UACAGAGACUGCAAGCGUUAUUCGGAUUCACUGGGCGUAAAGGGUGCGUAGGUGGCCAGGUAAGUUCGGUGUGAAAGCUCGGAGCUUAACUCCGAAAUGGCAUUGAAUACUAUCUGGCUGGAGGGUCGGAGGGGAGACUGGAAUUCUCGGUGUAGCAGUGAAAUGCGUAGAUAUCGAGAGGAACACCAGUGGCGAAGGCGAGUCUCUGGACGACUCCUGACACUGAGGCACGAAAGCCAGGGGAGCAAACAGG